rnacentral:rRNA from 1 species
UACAGAGGGGGCAAGCGUUGUUCGGAAUUACUGGGCGUAAAGGGCGCGUAGGCGGCCUGUUAAGUCGGACGUGAAAUCCCUCGGCUCAACCGGGGAACUGCGUCCGAUACUGGCGGGCUUGAAUUCGGGAGAGGGAUGUGGAAUUCCAGGUGUAGCGGUGAAAUGCGUAGAUAUCUGGAGGAACACCGGUGGCGAAGGCAGCAUCCUGGACCGACAUUGACGCUGAGGCGCGAAAGCCAGGGGAGCAAACGGG